UCUAUCUAUAUAUAAAAGCUCGUGGUUUUCGAGCCACCUCGUGGCGAGUUAGGUUGGUUUUUCAUACUCGCGCGUUUGGUCCGGUAAUGAGAGAGGCAAAAUAAAUUGUGCCCAUUAGAUGUGGAAAUGAGAUGUGGACCGUUUGAUCGGAAAGGAUAUUUUGGAGAGAGUAAAUGCUGUGUAGAGCAGUCUUGCGUGCAAGCAUCAUUUGGCGUGUUGAUCCUUCUCUCCCUUAGAGCUUCUAUGUAGUUGGUGUUUCUCCCUCCUAAUCUCUUUGCAAUCUACCUGCUUUCAUCUUCUCUGUCCAUCAAGAACCCGAACAAAGUUGGAUUCAAUGUGGACCGUUUGAUCAGGAAGGAUAUUUUAGAGAGAGUAAAUGCUGUAGAGCAGUCUUGCGUGCAAGCAUCAUUUGGGGUGUUAAUCUUCUCUCCCUUAGAGCUUCUAUGUAGUUGGUGUUUCUCCCUCCUAAUCUCUUCACAGUCUACCUGCUUUCAUCUUCUCUGUCCAUCAAGAACCCGAACAAAGUUGGAUUCAAGUACAAAAACAGCACCGCCCUCCUUAAUUACAGAGGGGAGUAAGUCGGAGAAGUUCUGAUUCCGCCCGACAAGAUCUUGGUAGGCGAGACUGUGGCUAUGGCUAUGGCUAUGAACUUGACCCUUACGAUCAUAGCGGAUAAAUUGUUCUCCAAUUGACAAGUUUAUUCGGGUGUGAUUGGCGGCUAUGAACUUGACCCUCACGAUCAUAGUGGAAAAAUUGUUCUCCAAUUGGCAAGUUUAUUAGGAUGUGAUUGGCGGUGAGUUGUCUCUGUUCACUUUUACUCGGAUCUCCGGUGAGUACAGAGUAUCGUGUGGCAUUCUUUGUGGAGCAGAGUACUGUGAAGGGUAUUCUUCCUUCAUACUUACAUUGCUUUCAUGAUUUUAGAUUAUUACUUUAUUUUUCUUAUCUUUGUCUUUUCAUUCAGGUUUUUUUACUGUGUUUACGUCCAUUUUAAUGGGGUGUUUUCUUUGACGGGCCGUUUCCGUAUAUAGAUUUCUUGCCUUUGGUUAUUGGUGAUGGUGUUUAUAUGGGCCGUUUCCGUAAAUAGAUCGUGCCUUUGGUUAUCGGUGAUGGUGUUUAUGUUUUUUUACCGUGUUUAUGUCCGUUUUAAAGGGGUGUUUUCUUAGACGGGCCGUUUCCGUUAAUAGAUUUCUUGCAUUUGGUUAUUGGUGAUGGUGUUUAUGUUUUUCUACUGUGUUUGCGUUUAUGUCCGUUUUAAUGGGGUGUUUUCUUAGACAGAGGCCGUUUCCGUGAAUAAAUUUCGUGCCUUUGGUUAUUGGUGAGGGUGUUUAUGUGUUACCUUUGUUGACGGUCAUUUAAAGCUUGGUGUUUGCAGUUCUGUGGGAUACCUGGCAGAUGGAGCAAAGAUGGAAAAAAAGUGGUAUUUAUUCAGCUUAAGAGACAGGAAGCACCUAACUGGGUUAAAAAACAUAGAGCCACUAGAGCUUGCUACUGGAAGGCCACAAGGAAAGACAGAGAGGUUUACAGUGCUUCAAUAGGUGCUUUACUCUGCAUGAAGAAUUUUGGGUGUGAUCAACAUCUUUCUUACAUCAAUUUCUUGGUUAUUUCUUUUUAGUUACCAUCUAAUUCUAUAAUUUUGUUGGUGCUAUCAUUGCAGAGUAUGUUUGAUUCUAAUUUGAAAACCCAAGUUUGGUCUGAAUCAGUGUUGGUUAUUGAUUUGUAGAUUGAAUUUUGAGAAUUGUCUUAAAUCA